AUUGAACGCUGGCGGCAUGCCUUACACAUGCAAGUCGAACGGCAGCGGACCUUCGGGUGCCGGCGAGUGGCGAACGGGUGAGUAAUAUAUCGGAACGUACCUUUCAGUGGGGGAUAACGUAGCGAAAGUUACGCUAAUACCGCAUAUUCUGUGAGCAGGAAAGCAGGGGAUCGCAAGACCUUGCGCUGAUUGAGCGGCCGAUGUCAGAUUAGCUAGUUGGUGAGGUAAAGGCUCACCAAGGCGACGAUCUGUAGCGGGUCUGAGAGGAUGAUCCGCCACACUGGAACUGAGACACGGUCCAGACUCCUACGGGAGGCAGCAGUGGGGAAUUUUGGACAAUGGGGGCAACCCUGAUCCAGCCAUGCCGCGUGAGUGAAGAAGGCCUCGGUUGU
rnacentral:rRNA from 1 species